GACGAACGCUGGCGGCGUGCCUAAUACAUGCAAGUCGAGCGAAGUUUUUCUGGUGCUUGCACUAGAAAAACUUAGCGGCGAACGGGUGAGUAACACGUAAAGAACCUGCCUCAUAGACGGGGACAACUAUUGGAAACGAUAGCUAAUACCGGAUAACAGCAUAAAUCGCAUGAUAUAUGUUUAAAAGUUGGUUUCGGCUAACACUAUGAGAUGGCUUUGCGGUGCAUUAGCUAGUUGGUGGGGUAAAGGCCUACCAAGGCGACGAUGCAUAGCCGACCUGAGAGGGUGAUCGGCCACACUGGGACUGAGACACGGCCCAGACUCCUACGGGAGGCAGCAGUAGGGAAUCUUCCGCAAUGGGCGAAAGCCUGACGGAGCAACGCCGCGUGAGUGAAGAAGGAUUUCGGUUCGUAAAGCUCUGUUGUUAGGGAAGAAUGAUUGUAUAGUAACUAUAUACAGUAGAGACGGUACCUAACCAGAAAGCCACGGCUAACUACGUGCCAGCAGCCGCGGUAAUACGUAGGUGGCAAGCGUUGUCCGGAAUUAUUGGGCGUAAAGCGCGCGCAGGUGGUUUAAUAAGUCUGAUGUGAAAGCCCACGGCUCAACCGUGGAGGGUCAUUGGAAACUGUUAAACUUGAGUGCAGGAGAGAAAAGUGGAAUUCCUAGUGUAGCGGUGAAAUGCGUAGAGAUUAGGAGGAACACCAGUGGCGAAGGCGGCUUUUUGGCCUGUAACUGACACUGAGGCGCGAAAG
rnacentral:rRNA from 1 species